UACGAAGGGGGCUAGCGUUGCUCGGAAUCACUGGGCGUAAGGCGCACGUAGGCGGACUUGUCAGUCAGGGGUGAAAUCCCGAGGCUUAACCUCGGAACUGCCUUUGAUACUGCAAGUCUUGAGGAUGAGAGAGGUAAGUGGAACUGCGAGUGUAGAGGUGAAAUUCGUAGAUAUUCGCAAGAACACCAGUGGCGAAGGCGGCUUACUGGCUCAUUUCUGACGCUGAGGUGCGAAAGCGUGGGGAGCAAACAGG
rnacentral:rRNA from 1 species